UCCACAUCUAAAUGCUCUGGCAUAACUGCAUAAAAAGAUUUAAUGAAGUAGAACAUGCUUUCAUCUCUUCCUAUAAUUCCCUGAAUAUGAGAACUGCAAAUGCUGACUCAAUCAAGAAUGUUGAAUUAGUGAUUCAAAUACUACCACUAGCUGCAAGUGAAAUACUUUUCUAAAUUCUUGUGCAACUCUUGAUAGAGUUCUAAACAAAACAAAAUAUAGUCUUUUGGUUUAAAAAGAAGGUGCAUUCCUGGGAAACUUUCUGCAUAUUAAAUCCUGCCCCCCCCAAAAAAAUUUUUUGAGUUUAUAUGUGAAAUAAAGUUGGGCUAUAAAUUCGGAUAUUUUUUAAAAAAGAUUUUUACCUAUAAGAAUAGGUGAAGUGAUAGGAUUUGGGGAUGCUGGAUGAUCCUUUAUUGUGUGGGAUUAUCUGACAUUUGUGAAUCUUACUCAUGAGUGCCAGGAACAGAAAGGGAUGUAGCUUGGUGGUAAAGCACUUGCCUAGCAUGCACAUGGCCCUGGGUACAAUAGCCAGCACUGCAAAAAAAAAAAAGUAAUAAUAAUAAACACACACACAUUAUAUAUACACCCAUAUACAUACAUACACCAAGUGCCAGGAGUAUCACUUAAUUCUUGUGACCACCAUUUUCACAUGGCCCACAAAUUUCUGAAACACUUAGAGGGUGAAUGAAAUCACUCUCACAGAGAAUCACUUACCUAGAGCAAUGAGUUAUGCCUCUGUUUCCCUUCCUUAGAAGCCCUGUUCCUUUUGACCUAGGAUUUCUGUCCUAACACCAACUUCCUUCUUUACUCAUGUCAGUACCCAGUGGUGUAGGGAAGGAGAACUGGUCCUGUUCCAGGUUCUCAGUUGUUCCUUACCGGAUGAUUGCAAUGGGCUCCCAUUCAGAGUAUCACCACUCUCAGAGGAUCAUGAAAACUCUUCCACAGUACUGGCCUUCUUUAUGGAUCACAGAAAGUCUUGCCUGUACUCUUGGAACUGUAGCCCCUGUGACAGUGUCCCACCCCUAUAACUUGGCACUCACCAUGUCUAUACUCACUAUCUUGAGAAUCCCAGCACCUGGGAUUCUCUGCUUUCUUGACCUUGACCUUCUGGGGCCCACUCUGCCCACAUGGCAAGUCAGAAAGGCCAGAAUUAACACUUAACCAAUGACUGGUGGAGAUGGGUAGCUACAGAUCCCAGAUUCCUCAUCUCUUGGGCAGGGUAAUCCUGAAGUGUAUGGCCCUUCACUGGCCCUCAGAGUUCCUGAGGGGGAUUAAGCUCCAGUUGCCCAUAGGAAAGCUUGCUUGAUUAUGUGCCCUUGUUUGACCUCCUUCCUUCUCUAAUUGGUGUUUCCUAGGAUCAUAUUUUCGGUAAAUUAGUUGCCUCAAAUAACUAUAGGGUGAUCUGGGGGAUUCCAAACCAAGACGUAAUUCUAGGAGAGCAAAUAUUCUCAUAAUCCUUUCUCCAUAAGGACCGGUAGAACUUCUGGGGGAAAAGAGGGAGGGGACUUGGGUGCCUAAUGGUUAAACUGCAGGUUAUUGUCACUUCAGUCUUCAAAUUGGAUCUCACAGAAUGUCCUCAAGAGGGAUCCACAGGUUUUCCAGGAAGGAGGCCCAUAAGUCUUUGUUAGAGUCUGUAAACAAGUCAAAAUAACACCUGGCAUUUUGCCAGGGGAAUGUUAAAGUUCGUAAACAAGUCUAGAUGGUGCCUGGCAAAAUGCCAGAGGGAGUGGUUUGAGAAGUAACAAAAGC
rnacentral:lncRNA from 1 species